AAACUGCCAGUAGAGAUCACAGGAGCUGGAGCCGGGACAGGAGGAGAGCUGCAGCGAGAGAGACAGCGGGAGAGUGAGAGAGGGUGAGAAGAAAAAGCAUCAAGAGAAGAAAGACUGAUCAGCACAUCAGUAAAGAGCAAAAUGAUGGUCAUCAUCAUAACAAUGGCAAUAAAAGAAGAAAAUAUAAAUAAAGGAAAGAAAAUAUAAAAUAACAAUAAUAAUUAUUAUUAUAAAGGAGAAAAUCCCAGAGAAAUUCAGGGAAUGAAAGUUUUGGGCGGCAAACCUGCUCUCUGCCUUUUUGAUAUCAGAUCCUUUUGCUGGUCAUAAUUUUUUUUUCAUUUUUUUUCUGCCUUUUUUAGCAUCUAAAGAGGGCAUGUCCAGCGGUUCCUCCAGCAGCAUCCACCCCUCCUGCUCCCAUCAGGAAGGCAAACCGAGGACAAUCUUGAAAUAUACAAAUUUCCUCUUUGGGAUUUGCUGCUGCUGCCUCCACUGCCGCUGCAGCGGUGCAGUGCCAAGACUCUCGGAAUAAAUAAGAGCGGGCUACUGUGUAUACUGUGUGUAUAGCUAUCUCCAUACAGCUCUAGGUAUUAUUAGUUGGUCAUUUAUUUCGAAGAUCACAGAUGAGGUGGGGACGCCUAUCUUCUUCGUUUGCUCGGCUUGUGAAAUAAUCAUAAAAGGAGGGAAAUGGGGGAGAAAAAAAUCCUAAUAUGAAGCAGAAGGAAUAAUAAUAAUAAUUAAAAAAACCUAGAUCUAAAUCCCACUCAGAUCCCCCUCCCUCCCUCCACGCACGCACACUGCCCUAAGUAUUUUGAGAGGAGGAGGUGGUGGUUUCUGAAGGAGGAAGUGGUGUUGGGGGGGGGGAUCUCUUUCCCCAUUUGGAGAUGAUUGUGCUAUUCCUCCUUGCCUUGCUCUGGAUGGUGGAGGGAGCCCUUUCUCAGCUUCACUACACGGUGCAAGAGGAGCAGGAGCAUGGCACGUUCGUGGGGAAUAUCGCCGAGGACCUGGGCUUGGACAUUACAAAACUUUCGGCUCGCCGCUUCCAGACGGUACCCAACUCUCGGAGCCCUUACCUAGAGCUCAACCUGGAGACUGGGGUGCUGUACGUGAACGAGAAGAUCGACCGGGAGCAGAUCUGCAAGCAGAACCCCCCCUCCUGCCAGCUGCACCUGGAGGUCUUUUUGGAGAACCCCCUGGAGCUGUUCCGGGUGGAGAUCGAGGUGCUGGACAUCAACGACAAUCCGCCCUCCUUCCCGGAGCCCGACCUGACCGUGGAGAUCUCCGAGAGCGCCACGCCAGGCACUCGCUUCCCACUGGAGAGCGCCUUCGACCCGGACGUGGGCACCAACUCGCUGCGCACCUACGAGAUCACCCCCAACAGCUACUUCUCGCUGGACGUGCAGACCCAGGGCGACGGCAACCGCUUCGCCGAGCUGGUGCUGGACAAGCCCCUGGACCGCGAGCAGCAGGCGGUGCACCGCUACGUGCUGACAGCGGUGGACGGAGGCCAACCCCAGCAGCGCACCGGCACCGCCCUGCUCACCAUCAGGGUGCUGGACUCCAAUGACAACGUGCCCGCCUUCGAGCAGCCCGUCUACACAGUGUCCCUGCCGGAGAACUCGCCGCCGGGCACCCUGGUGCUGCAGCUCAACGCCAGCGAUCCGGACGAGGGCCAGAACGGCGAGGUCAUCUAUUCCUUCAGCAGCCACAUCUCGGCGCGGGCCCGGGAGCUCUUCGGCAUCUCGCCGCGCACGGGGCGGCUGGAGGUGAGCGGCGAGCUGGACUACGAGGAGAGCAGCGUGUACCAGGUGUACGUGCAAGCCAAGGACCUGGGCCCCAACGCCGUGCCCGCCCACUGCAAGGUGCUGGUGCGGGUGCUGGACGCCAACGACAACCCGCCCGAGAUCAGCUUCUCCACCGUCAAGGAGGCGGUGAGCGAGGCGGCCUCGCCGGGCACGGUGGUGGCCCUGUUCAGCGUCUCGGACCGAGACUCGGAGGAGAACGGGCAGGUGCAGUGCGAGCUCCUACAGGGCGACGCGCCCUUCCGCCUCAAGAGCUCCUUCAAGAACUACUACACCAUCGUCACCGAGGGGCCGCUAGACCGCGAGCAGCCGGGCGGCGACGCCUAUACCCUCACGGUGGUGGCGCGGGACAUGGGCGAGCCGGCGCUGAGCACCAGCAAGUCCAUCCAGGUGCGGGUGAGCGACGUGAACGACAACGCGCCGCGCUUCAGCCAGCCCCUCUACCAGGUCUAUGUGAGCGAGAACAACGUGCCGGGCGCCUACAUCUACGCCGUGAGCGCCACCGACCGGGACCAGGGCGCCAACGCCCAGCUCGCCUACUCCAUCCUGGAGAGCCAGAUCCAGGGCAUGUCCGUCUUCACCUACGUCUCCAUCAACGCCGAGAACGGCUUCCUCUACGCCCUGCGCUCCUUCGACUACGAGCAGCUCAAGGAGUUCAGCUUCCAGGUGGAGGUGCGCGACGCGGGCGAGGAGCCCCAGCCCCUGUCCGGCAACGCCACGGUCAGCAUCAUCGUGGUGGACCAGAACGACAACGCGCCCGCCAUCGUCAGCCCCCUGCCCGGCCGCAACGGCACCCCGGCCCGGGAGGUGCUGCCGCGCAGCGCCGAGCCCGGCUACCUGGUGAGCCGGGUGGCGGCGGUGGACGCGGACGACGGGGAGAACGCGCGCCUCACCUACAGCAUCGCGCGGGGCAACGAGGCCAGCCUCUUCCGCAUGGACUGGCGCACCGGGGAGCUGCGCACCGCGCGCAAGGUGCCGGCCAAGCGCGACCCCCAGCGGCCCUUCGAGCUGGUGAUCGAGGUGCGGGACCACGGGCAGCCGCCGCUCUCCUCCACCACCGCCAUCCAGGUGAUGCUGGUGGACAGCGCGGUGGAGCGCCAGGGAGGCGGCGGCCUGGGCGCGGGGGGUGGCGGCGGUGGGGGAGGGGCGGGAGGGGAGCAUCGCCCCAGCCGCUCCGGGGGCGAGACCUCGCUGGACCUGACCCUCAUCCUGAUCAUCGCCCUGGGCUCCGUGUCGUUCAUUUUCCUGCUUGCCAUGAUCGUGCUGGCCGUGCGCUGCCAAAAGGAGAAGAAGCUCAACAUCUACACCUGCCUGGCCAGCGACUGCUGCCUGGGUUGCUGCUGCUGCUGCCCCUGCUGCAGCCGCCAAGCCCGGGCCCGCAAGAAGAAGCUGAGCAAGUCGGACAUCAUGCUGGUGCAGAGCUCCAACGUACCCAGUAACCCGGCCCAGGUCCCCGUGGAGGAAUCGGGCAGCUUCGGAUCCCACCAUCACAACCAGAACUACUGCUACCAGGUCUGCCUCACUCCGGAGUCAGCCAAGACCGACCUGAUGUUCCUCAAGCCCUGCAGCCCAUCUCGGAGCACAGACACUGAGCACAACCCCUGCGGAGCCAUAGUGACAGGUUACACGGACCAGCAACCAGACAUCAUCUCCAAUGGCAGCAUAUUGUCCAACGAGACAAAACAUCAGCGUGCAGAGCUCAGUUAUCUAGUUGAUAGACCCCGACGGGUAAACAGUUCUGCAUUCCAGGAAGCAGACAUAGUAAGCUCUAAGGACAGUGGUCAUGGAGACAGCGAGCAAGGAGACAGUGAUCAUGAUGCCACUAAUCGAGGUCAAUCCUCUGGCAUGGAUCUCUUCUCCAAUUGCACAGAGGAAUGUAAAGCGCUGGGCCACUCGGAUCGGUGCUGGAUGCCCUCCUUUGUCGCAUCCGAUGGACGCCAGGCUGCAGAUUAUCGCAGCAAUCUGCAUGUGCCCGGUAUGGACUCUGUUCCAGACACUGAAGUGUUUGAAACACCAGAAGCCCAGCCUGGAACAGAGAGGUCCUUUUCCACCUUCGGCAAGGAGAAGGCCCUUCACAAUACUCUGGAGAGGAAGGAGUUGGAUGGACUGCUGACUAAUACACGAGCGCCUUACAAACCACCAUAUUUGAUAUGUCAGAGGUAGGAAGCCUGUGAGAGAACAGCAGCAGAACAGGCACAACAUGGACAGCGGCAAUGUAAGGCAGGAACUAACCAAGCUUAGCUACACUAUUCACCAAUGUGCCUCAACCUGGACCUGGAGUCUCCCUACAUUUAUAAUCUUUGACCACGAUUAUGGUUAUGAUUUUGUUUGAUAUGAACUCCAGGGCUCCCGUCCUGCAAAGACUUAGGUACAUGCUUAACUUUGCAUGCAUGUAGCUUAACUUCCCAUUGAAGUCAACAGAAUUGCUCUUAUGCAUCAAGUUAAGUAUAUGCAUAUAUCUUUGAAGAACUGAUUGCCUAGGAACUGGACUAUCAACUAAUCUCAAACAAGCUACCAAAGAACAAUAAUAAGCGCGGAAAAGGAUAUGCUAGUCAAUUCUACAGGACUUACCUGAAGCAGCAUGAUUUGCACAAAAGUCAACCAACAAAAAGCAUCAACUUUUCAACUUCAUUAUCUUGGCCAUCCAGUUCUAUGUAACUGAAAGAUUUGUGUGCUGUUGGAGACAUCAUGGCCAACAAUAGGACCUAAUUGCUCUCAGCAGGCCUGAGAAAUGAGUUGAAAUGUGUGGAACUGUAGAAACUUCAGAGGCAACUGAUCUUGCCUUUCUGAUCAGUGUGUGCCUGUUUACAGCACUAUAUAUCUUUCUCUCUCCAAAAUGUCACUGAGCCCUUUAGAUGUUUAUAUUCACCACAAGAAGCCAAUCGUACAGAUAAAAGAAAUGUGCAUUAUAAAUGCAAUAUCACUGUUUUAAACUUGACUGUUUUAUAUUAUUUUUGUGUGAUCAAGUGUUCCCCAAACUAUCCCAACUUUACAAGAGAGAUUGUGAUCAUAAUCUUUUCACCUGUGGGUCAUAAAAAUGUUGUUAAUCUGCAGACCCACAAAAUAUCAAAGACAUUCUGUAGUUUAUACACGUGUUGCAAAGUGUUUACUGUACUAUUUCAAAGCUUCUAAAUAAAUAUAAAAUAUAUAUAUAUUAUAUUAUAUAUAAUUUUCCGAAAAAUGUGGUACAAUUUAGUUGAUUUUUAAAUGGAUUCAUAUAGUCCAAACCAUACACUAAAGUGAGAAGGUAAUUCAGGGUCCCUAAGUUAUCCUUGCUAAAAAAUAAAUAAAUCUUUAAUAAUAUUUCCCCAAUUUUGGUAUUUUGGUCAGUCCUGUUUUUUCUUUGUUGUUGUUGUUUGUUUUUGUUAUUUUUAAAGCUGUAAGAAACAACAUUUUGUUUAGAAGUUGUACUGAAUUUUCAAUGCCAAAGAUGCAGCUGUCAGUUUUACCAGAAUGAGCACUGACUAUGUACUAUCAAAAGUAUAUAUCAAUCUUCAUUAUUUUGAUUCUAUUUGUAUGGUUUUUAAUUUGGUAUCACAACACCUUUUAUAAAGGAUCUAUAAACUCACCUGUAUAUGUUGUUAAAAAGAACACUGGGUGUCUGUACAUUUUGAAAUGUAAGAUGUAAUGUAACUGAAGAUAACUGUUCUAAGGAAAUCAUUCCAAACUCCUAACACACACAUCUUUCUUUGACAUAAUUUUGUGCAAACCUAAGCAAAUAUAUAUAUCUUUUCAUCUUGGCUAGAAAUGGUUUUUGAUAAAAGACAAAUCACAAAGGCAUAGAGUUGGCUGAGCCGUUAUUUUUUCUUCUUUUUUUACAUUGAAGAGAUUUGGAGUAGGAACAUGGCACAUUUCAGGCUGACCCUACUCUCAUUGGAAUUAAUAGGAGAUUGACCAAUUAUUUCAUUGGGAGCAGGAUCAAGCCUGUCCAUAUUGUUUUUACCUUUUUUAAUAAUUCAACAGACUGAAAUGUUAUCUCACAGAUUCAUACAUAUAUAAAAAAACUUUUUUGAAAAGAAAAGCCUUGAAAAGUAAAGUUUAACUUUACUUUCAAGUCCACAGAGUUGAAGUAUCAUUUACAAGUGUAAAAUCUAGUAAGAUGUUUUCUUUUUUACAUUCUCUACUGUACUGUUCCUUCUAUAUUUCCUAAUUAUUGCCUGUCAAAUACUGAAUCGAAAUUAUAGAAUUUUGUGUUAUUAGCCCAUUGAUGUCAAUAGAACAUGGAAUUCCCAUUGACUUCUAUGACUUUGGAUCAGGCCCAGAUUCUGAAAGCCUUGUCAGUGCUGAGUAUAUGUCACAGCAUGAGUAAGAGUGACAGAAUCUGACCCCCAAGUGGUGGAAGUUGUUUUUGUUUUUCCUUUUUUUCCAAUGGCAAUUGCUAUUAGAUAGAGACAUGCAGAUCAUUUGUAUGGAGUCUGCCAUACUAUUGAUGCACACAAGACUCUCACUGCUUUCAGUGAGAGUUCCAUGCACAGAAUGCUACCUGGAUUGAGCCCUAAUGUCAUCAGUUUAUUUCAUAAGUCUAACAAAAUAGGCUUGUUAAACACUUUUAACACAUAUUUCUAGCUUAUUUGUACAAUUUACAAAAACUUCUUGGGAUCCUUUUUAAAAUGUAUAUAUAAAAAUCACAAAAAAGCACAGAAAAUAACUAUUGAUCUAAACAAACACAGCAGUAGGAUGUUUCUUUAGCUUUAGGUAAUGGGACUUUAGUCACCUACAUGCCUUGUUAGUUUUAUGAAAAAAUGGGCUAUUUUAGUAAUGAAAUGUGUGAAUUAUAUUUCAUUUUAAGAAGUCUGUCAAUUUGUUGUUGCUGCUUUUAAGGCAAGAAAGUGAUUGCCCUUGCUGGAACUGGUUUUGCUUUAUUUCUAAACCUCUCUUUAAACUGAGAUAUAUACUGUAAAAUAAGGUUGUUUUCAGUCUUGGGAGGGGAAAAAAAUCACAUUUUUCUUUUUUAAUAGACUAGUGAAGUGCUUUUUAUUUACUUAAACCUCAUUCACACGUUGCAUGCAAUUUUUUUAAAAUAACCAUAUCAAAAUGAUUUCAUACAUCUCCAUGAUUGGACUUGUUCCAUGAACUCUGUACUGUCUAUGUACUUGCAUACAUCCAUUUCAUUUUUUACCAUAACUAAUCCUGCUAUCAGUCCACACAAAAUAAUCUUAUUGAGUGCAGUGGGAGAGCCACAUGUAGAACAAUGGUCAGACUGAGCACUAUUUAGGUCUAGAUUGUGUUUGUAGCACUUAGCUGAUAGUAAAAAGCAGCAUGUAGCUGCAUUGCCACAGGAAGAGUUUUGCACUCCAAAUAACUGAAUAACCAGUUCAGGUGCAGGUCUGGAAAAACAAAUUAAAUAUAUUUUGGGUCAACCUGAAAUGAGAAUGUUUCAAAAUUUUCUGUGAGCCAAAAUGUAAAAGAAUAGAUUCAUUUUGGGCUGACCAAAUUGUUUCCAUAGACCCGAAAUGAAUAUUUGUUUUUUAGAUUUAAUUUUUUAAAAAUAAAUAUGAAAUUGAGAGAAAUUCUGAAACAAACUGUCUUUCUGAAAGAAAAUAAUCCAGAUUUCUAACUUUUUAAAUUGUUUUUUGACUGAAAAAAAUUGCCAAUUGACUUGAAUUUGUAAAUUGUUUCAUCUAAUCCAAAUCUGUGUUUUUUGGCAAAAUAAAGUUUUGCAUGACAAAUUUCACCAAGCCCUACCUGGGCUGCAUUUUGCUCCUGAGAAACACAAUCAUUCCCAUGACCCUUCAUUGCACUGGAAGGGAAGCAUGCUCCUCACCUUGCAUUCAGGCAGUUGUGCUGGCUAUUACAUGGGGUGUACAGUUCUAUAGGCUUGAUUUCAAAAUAUAUUUAGGCACCUAUAGAUGCAAAUAGGCAUCCUGUGGAAUUUUCAAAAGAGCCUAGGUGCCGAAUUAAUCACUAGCUGCUUAUCUGCAUCUUUAGGAAUCUAAAGACAUUUAAAAAUUUAGCACUAGGUCUCUCCCACUUCCCCCAGUUCCCACCCUCUUGCUCUGAGGGGAAGCUUGAAUAUGUACUUGCAUUCAUCUGAACACCAAGGCCUGGAUCUACAUAUAGCUCUAAAUAGAUGUAUAGGGACUGAGCUAUCUAGCCUUUCCUGCAUGGCUACAUUGAGGUUAGGAACAAUCUAGCUCUGAAUUAGGUGUCUAAUAUAUAUCUAUAUAUAUCUAUAUAUCUAUAGAUAUAGAUAUAGAUAUAUAAUCGGCCCAAUACUGCAAGUUCUCAUUGUGCAGAACUGCCCCUGAAGUCAAUGGGAGUUACAUACAGAAAAGUCUUUCAAGAUCAGAUCCUAUGAAGGAUAAGGAGAGGAUAAUAUUUAUUUAUUUAUUUUAAAUUCAUUUUAGAUACAUAUGAGAGAAUUUCUAAGUGGCUUACCCAUUCAGUUUCUUCAAAGCCUUUCCAGACUGACUUUGUGCCAGAAUGUCAAAUUGUAAUAAACUCUUUAGCUAUUUUUAAAAAAAACAGGUAGUUUAACAUAGGGUUUUAUUAAAUUAUAUUUUCUAAGGAAAAAAUGAAGUAUUUCACAUAAUGUAUUAUCAGCUGACUUGACCAGUAUUUAGAAAGUUAAUAAAGUGAAUAUAAGUUUAUUGCUGAGAAACUUCCCAGUGUUACGAAAGGAUGUUGAAUGACCUACAUACAGAUGAAUACAGUUUCAUCUAUUUGUGAGGGUUCUAAUUUAUAAAUAAUAUCCAUAAUAUAUGGAGAUAAUUUUAAUUAAAAUCUAAAAAGCUGCAACUGAGUUUCUUUCAGAGGUGUACCAUCCAUGUAAAAAAAUGAGAUUACUUAUUAUAGAGCUAAUGGCUCCAUAAUGAAGACUGAAUUAAGUUUUCCAUGUAAAGUGGGAAUUCAGCCUCUUUGUUAUGCAUUAUAUUACUCUCUCUCUCUCUCUCUCUCUCUCUCACACACACACACACACACACACACACACACAGACAUACAAAAUUUUACUUGUCCAUAGAUAAGAAAAAACACAUUUUUCAUUACUAUAAUUCGUCAUGGUUAAGGGCAGAUGAGUAGAUAUUCUUCCUGAAAUGGUGUAUUUCCUUGGUAGUAUUGCAAACUGUUAUGUAUUUAUAUGGCCUUUAUUUAUUUUUUUAAAAAGGGCUAGGCAUACUCUCCCAUUGUUCUAUGUUUGGAUCUCCAAUUUAUUUCCAGGAAAAGUUUUGUAUAAAAAUCUUUAAAUCCUAAUUCAAAAUAAGCAACUUUGAUGUAAAUUUAGUCAUUUCAGUUUUACUGCAACACAUUGGCACCAGAUGUCUAUAAAUAUGGGAAAGUUGUUUAAUCUAUUUGAAGUACAGUGCAGCAGGCCAAUAAGACGUCAUUAUGCUAUUACCACUAUGAAAAAUUCUGAAACUGAGUUUAAUCUGUUCCACUGAUCCCCACAAUCAGAACCCAAAAGCUUCUUAAAAAGCUCUUCCAUUUUAUUUUCUCACUAAUCUGCUAAUCUGUUUUGGUAUAAAGUAGAUACACAUACAAAUACACACACACACACACUUAAAAACCAUUGUUCAAAAUCUGUGUCUUUGUAGAUAUCCUCAUAUGUAAAGAAAUGGGCAAAAACAAACUUGGACAGCUUUCUUGAACUGAAAUUGUUUUUGAAUUUGAAUUUGUUAAUAAAGUUCAUGAUAUUGUA